rnacentral:snoRNA from 1 species
CCGAAUGUGCUCACUGAGCAGGGUGCGCCCCUCCAAUGGCGCCCCCCUGGCCCACGCCGUUCGGAGAGCAAGAAGGGGCUCUGGAGCGCCGGGGGGCCCGCCUCCCGGCGCUCGCCACCUUGGUACGCAUCAUACCUUGUCCUCUGUGUGGCCCCGCGAGGGGCGAUAACACUUGGGAUCUUCACGUGCGUAACACAUCG